UUAUAGAGAAAAAAAACUAAAAUUAUUUUAAAUGAGCAUAUAUAUUUAAAAUGGUAUAUUCGUUUUUAUUUCAGGGAGUAUGAGUGUUACUAUAGUGACGGAAGCAUAUCUUACUGUGAAGAAUGUUGUGAAACAGACUGUUGUGAUAAUGGCUUGUCUGCAGGUGCCAUCAUUGGGAUUGUUGCAGUUAUUAUAGUAGCAAUUGUGGGCAUUGCUUUGAGAGUUUGUUGUAUUUGUAUGAGGGUAACAGCGCCACCAGUUGUAACACGAACACGAACUAUUACUGUAACUGUUCCAAAAAAUGCUGUGGUAACAACAAACACAAACCAUGCAGGAUACGAUCAACGACGAAACAUAACAAACCAUCAGUCAAAUCCAAAUGCAAGGACGUCCAUGCUUGCAGGCCAGCGAACGAAUCCAAACAAUUAUGGGUCUACGCCUAUGCCGCCACCGUCGUAUGAAAAUGUGAUAAGGCAUAAAAAUAGAAAUUAAAGAAAUAGGUGCACACUGUUUUAAUUACUAUAAACAGGCAGAUUGACUUGAAGCUUUAAUAAUGAUAAGCUUAAACUUUCUUUUAUUGCUCGUGUAUUGAUUUUUCUGUCGUAAAGUAUUAGCUGCUCGAAGGUUUCAGAUACUUUUUUGUCAGACAGCUAUAUACUCGUAUAAAUAAAAACUAUGUCAAACAAAAAGAAACCGUUU